rnacentral:rRNA from 1 species
UACGGAGGAUCCAAGCGUUAUCCGGAUUUAUUGGGUUUAAAGGGUGCGUAGGCGGAUUGAUAAGUUAGAGGUGAAAUGUCCGAGCUCAACUCGGGAACUGCCUCUAAUACUGUUGAUCUAGAGAGUAGAUGCGGUAGGCGGAAUGUAUGGUGAAGCGGUGAAAUGCUUAGAGGUCAUACAGAACACCGAUUGCGAAGGCAGCUUACCAAUCUAUAUCUGACGUUGAGGCACGAAAGCGUGGGGAGCAAACAGG